AAAAAGAUAAACCUUGGAUUUCUAUGUCCAUCUUAUAUGAAAGUUUUUUAUAAUUAGUAUUUUUAUUGUUGUUAGAUGAUAAAACAUGAUUAAUACUUUAUACGUGACUUGUCUUUUUAUUUUUUUUAUAUUAUUUUUAAAUAAGACGGACGGUCAAACGUUGGACACGAAAACCAAGGGUUUGUCUUUUU
rnacentral:pre_miRNA from 1 species